rnacentral:rRNA from 2 species
AAUUAACAUUUUAUUUGUUUGUUUAUUUUUAGAUUUAUUAAUAGGAAUAACUUAUUUUUAAGUAAAUUUUAUUGAACUAAUUUUUUUGAUUAUAGUUAAUUGUACUGUAUAGGAUUAAUUUUAAUUUAUUAAAAGUAGUUUUAAUUUAAUGUACCUUUUGUAUCAGGGUUGAUUAAAUUUUAUUAUUUAUAUAAUUUUCCCGAAAUUAGAGGAGAUAGGAUAGAUUGUUAGUUAAUGUUUCAUAAUUUUUAAUAAAUCUGUCUUAGUUAUGAAAAGUUAUUCGUUUCUAAAUAUCUGGUUUUUCAAGAAUUAAAUUUAAUUUAGGAUUAUUAAUGGAUUAUUGAAUUUGAAUUCAAAUAAUUUUGAUAAUCUAAAAUAUUUGGGGAUAAGCUCGGAUUAAUAUUUCUAUAAUUUGUUUAUUUUAUUUUAGAUAUUGUAGGUUUGGAAUCAGCCACCAAGAGUUCGUUAUAGAUCAGUCUUGUAUUUAUGUUCUUUUUUAUAAAUUUAGUUUUAUAUUGGAAUUAUUCAAUUAAUUAAAUAUUGUUUGUAAUAAUGAUUAUAUUAGUAUGUUUAGUAUAAAAAAUGUAGGAAUUCGGCAAAUAUCACGUUCGCCUGUUUAACAAAAACAUGUCCUUUUGUAUUAUUUAUAUAAGGUUUGACCUGCCCAAUGAGUAUUAAUGGCCGCGGUAUUUUAACUGUGCUAAGGUAGCAUAAUUAUUUGUCUUUUAAUUGAGGGCUAGAAUGAAGGGUUGGACGAAACGUGUACUUUCUUCAUUUUUUUAUUGUAAUUUAUCUUUUUAGUUAAAAGACUAAAAUGUAUUUAUGGGACGAGAAGACCCUAUAGAUCUUUAUAUUUGAUUUAAUUAAGUUAUUUAGUAUAUUAAGGAUUUAAUUAAAUUAGGUAUUUGAUUGGGGUGAUUGCAGGGAAUAAUUAACUUCUGUUUAUGAUAUUCAUUAAUGAGUGUUUUUAUGAUCCAUUAUUAUUGAUUAAAAGAAUAAGUUACCUUAGGGAUAACAGCGUAAUUUUCUCGGAGAGUUCUUAUCGAUGAGGGAGUUUGCGACCUCGAUGUUGGAUUAAGAUAAGUGUUAGGCGUAGCAGUUUAAUAACUAGGUCUGUUCGACCUUUAAUUUUUUACAUGAUCUGAGUUCAGACCGGCGUGAGCCAGGUCAGUUUCUAUCUAUAAUGGAAAAGUUUAUAAUUUAGUACGAAAGGACCAGUUAUAAGAGUGAUAUCUUUGAUAUAAUGAUUAAUAUU